GCGGUUGUGGCGGAAUUGGCAGACGCGCUAUCUUCAGGCGGUAGUGGAUUUUAUCCGUGAGAGUUCAAGUCUCUCCAACCGCA
rnacentral:tRNA from 1 species